UCUAUUUCCGCCGCCACGCCACGCCACGCCACGCGCACCUCGGCGAAGGACAAGGCUCCGGCUGCCGCCACCGCCUCUGCCCCGGCUAUAAAGCCGCGCCCUUUGGCCGGCCCGCUCCUCCUCCUCUCUUCCUCCGCGCCGCGCCUCUCGCCUCCUCGCCGCGCUCUGCCCGGUCCGCUCCUCCUCCUCCUCUCUUUGUCCGGGCGGUGCCUCUCUCCUCCGACCUCCCCGCCGCGCUCCGGCCGGUCCGCUGCUCCUCCACCCUUCGUCCGGGCCGUGCGUAUGUCCUCCUCGAGUCGGGUUUCAUCUUGCUCGUCCUCCUAUGUCGAUCUGUCCGUCUAGAAUCGCGUAUGGAUUUGAUUUUGCUCGUCCUCGGUCGAUUUGCCCGUUUAGAGUCGCGUCCGGAUUUGAUUUUGCUCGCCGUCACCGUCGCCGUCGCCGGUUUAGAUAGCUAGAGAACCCCGCCUGAUUUGAUUUUGCCCGUUCUCCCCGUCGUCCGUUUAGGACCGCGCCCGAUUUGGUUUCAGUUUGCUCGUGCUCAGUUCGUCAGUUUAGAGUCGCUUCCGAGUUGAUUUUGCUCGUCCCUCCCCGCCGUUGUCGGUUUAGAGUCGCUUCUGAUUUGGUUCUGCCCGUUCUCGCCGUCGCCCGUUUCCGUUUUUGCUCGUCCUCGCCGUUGCCCCGACGCGCUCGCAUGUUCUUGGCCCGUCUCGUCGAGGGUCUCCGUCUGGUCUGCGGUUGAGAAAUUUCUGCGUGCGGUUCUGUUAUCUGAGAGACCCUUUGGAUCCUGCGUUUCUUCGUGUUCGUGUCUGCGCGAGAGUUGCAGGAACAGUCGGGUCUUGGUUUUGAAAUUGGGUUGCGGCCGGAGAUGGAGAGGCGGAGAGCAGUUGUCAGCUUGUCGUGCUAGUUCAGAUCGGUUGCUAGGCUCCUGCGUUGUUCGUCGGCAGUUUUCAGAUCUCAAACGGCUAGCUUGUUCGUGCUCGUCCAUCGAGACGUGCCCUUUGAUGCUCUGGUUCCUCUGUCGAUUCUGAUUGUACCAGCUAGCUUGUUUCAGUUUCGUCAGGCGUGUGUGCUCUCGUCCUGGAUGCAGGGGUGAUUCGUUACGGUUGUUCUGAUGCGUGUUACUGCUUCUGUUCUUUUCAAUUGAUUACUUCCUGUCAUGCUUUGCUUAUCCAUAUAUGGUGAUGUGUGUUCAGGGGUGCAAACCAUGUAGGCCGUGGGUGCAAAUCAUGUGGCUUGCUGCUUGACUAAUUGAACACCUGCUGCUGCUACUGUUGGACAAGGUUUCCUGCUUUUUUUGCCUCGUGUUGCUAGUCCGUUAGAUGAGGUGCUGCUAGUCCCUUAGACUUCGUUCUAGAUUGCAUAGCAUUACUCCAGAAUUUUGUCAUUGCCCACCUGGGCAUAUAAUUCUGCUGUCAGCAUAACUCUAGAAUUUAUUUAUCUGUGAAAGCACGUUCAUCACAUGUUCUUUAUCAAUGCUGCUCACUUUUGUCACGUCCCUUUUGUUUGUCCUGUUAAAUUUUAUGGCAUCAACUUGGAGCAAAUUUUGAACUCACUGGUUAGAAUGCUGACUUCUGUAUUUGUCGCUAUGUAAGCCAUGCACUUGGAAGCCUGGGAGUGAUUAGGAUUUGGAUUGCAUAGAGAUUUUAUGCUAUGUUUGUUUAUAACCUGGUUGUGACCUAAUAUAGUGCAAAUCUGCUAAUUUUUUAAUUUAAUUUAUGUUCAACACAAGUAGGUUUUGUUUGCAAGUGGUAUUUCUUUUGUGUGUGUAUGAACAUUCAUGCUGUCAAUUUUUCUUAUCAUAAUCAUUUACCGUGGUGUUCGACAAUACAUUUCUACUGUUCUUUGUUCCCUUUUGAGGUUCACUGACUCAAUUAUGCAUGAGAUUUGAUAUCAAUUACUGCUGUCCAGUCACUGAAAUAAUGCUUUUCUUGCUUUGUCUAGACUUUGUGACAAGAAUAAGCAUGCGUCUCUGUGCCUACAAACUUGUGGGUAGUGCCGUAGUGAUGAUGAUCCAACUAGCUUCCUGUUUUCAGGAAUGAAGAUCUGAAUUACCCUCACCCCUCUACAGAAAUCAGUUUACUCAUUCAGUUUCUGGAACUUCUUUAUAGCUUUCUGAGUUUAAGUCUUGCAUGUAUUGGCUUUCUGUUUGUACCCUUAUCUAUGUCUGUUUCUUUGUGUGUUUCUUGUGUGCAAGCGAUCCAUUGUGUGUGUCUGACUGUGUGUGUGAUGUGCCCUAUCUAUGUAUGUUUCUUUGUCUGUUUCAUGUGUGAAAGUGCUCCAUUAUCUGUGUUUGACUGCUUGGAUGGGGUGAUUCUGAUUGUGUUACUGCUUAUAUGGUCUGUCCAAUUGGUUUCUUAUUCAAGCUUUGCUUGUGUUCCGAUGUCGUCUCCCCAUAUAUGGCGAUGUGUUCAGGGAUGCAAACCAUGUAGGCCGUUUCGAGCAGGCAGGGAUCCAGAGACGUGCACUGGUCAGGCUUCUCUCCUGCUGAUAGAUGAUGAUAGGCUGAGCAGAAAAGUUUGACUCUUGUAACACUCACUUGCUUGGCUUCCACUCCUUUGUGUGGCCGAUUUGGCAUCCAAUGCAUCUCAUGCCUAUCUUAUACUCCCUCCGUUCCAAAAUAGAUGACCCAACUUUAUACUAACUUUACACUAAAGUUAUAAAGUUAGUAGAAAGUUGAGUCAUCUAUUUUGAAACGGAGGGAGUAUAUCUCACUCACUCAUCACAGCAUCCUUUUCCCUGUUUUUGUUCCUUUCUUUCUUAUCAUAAUAAUCAUGUAUACCGUGGUGUUUCACAAUACAUUUUUUGUGAUAUCUGUGUUUCAUUAUGUCUUAUGUGGAUAUCAUAUUUUUUUUUGUAUAUUACUGCUGUCCAUUCACUGGAAUAAUGCUUUCCUAAGUAUUUCAGGUAGGAUAUAGACAAAUGUCACAUUUGCUCUUCCUUGUGUUGCUAAGGACACUGAUGGGUGGGGUUUGCUUACAGCGCAGGACCGAUAAUUCUGAUAGUAUGCCAAGGACUGCUCAGGGUUCCUACCACUUUCUGUUUUACCAACUAAGGUAAUCGAAUUUUGACCUUCAACUUGCAAAUUUAUCACCUUAUGGGAGGGAAAGGUUUGCAUGUACAUGAGCUCUGAUUAUCUACAUAUAUACUUGAAUUGCUUUGGAUUUGUUGGACUACUAUUCUACAUGAUGUUCUCCAUGAUUCACUUGAUCUGUUAAUUUGAGUAUUUUCCCGGUGAGUUCUUUAGGUUCAUCUUGUGACACAAAAUACAAUUUUGGUACGUGCAGACUCUGAAAUUUGGUGAUAAAGAAAAGGUACCUCCUAAUUUGCUCUCUGGCUCUCUUACACUUGUCUUUGUUUAUAUAACAGUAGUGGCCUCCUGGCUUGUAGUUGGGUAAUGCAGAGAAAGGUUUGGAACUGAAGAACUAAAAUAAUGCAGAGUUGAAGGUUCUGAACGGGAAGCUUGAACAAAUAGUUUACUUUUUCUCAUGUCUUUGAUUAGUUUCAUCCUAUCUAUGUCUGUCUUGUGUGCAAGUACUCCAUUGUGUCUGUGUGUGACUGACUGUUUGUGUGUGUGACUGAUUGUGUGUGUUGCUUUGUCUGUUUCUUGUGUGCAAGCGCUCCAUUGUGUGUGUGUGCGUGUGUGUUGACUGUGACUGUGUGUCAUUUUAUGACACUGACUGUGUAUUGAUUGUGACUGUGUGUGUAUGUGUGUGUGUGUGUGUUGACUGUGACUGUGUAUUGAUUGUGACUAUGUGUAUGUGUGUGUGUGUGUGUUGACUGUGACUGUCAUUGUGCAAGCGCUCCAUAACUACCUACGCAUGGAAAUUUCUGUAAGGUCAUGGGCUUGUCAUUUAAUGACCUACAUACCUCUGUAGUUGGUAGUAUCAUUGCCCUUUGGACACUCUUCAAUGCAUUUCUGUAUAUUUUCCUGCCACAACUAUGAUGUUUGUGCUGAGAAUGAUGUAUAUGUAGAAUCCAGGGUGGAUGGAGGGUUUCAUGAUGGCUAAUUUGAUUUGUUAUGGUUCUGAUGGUGUGCUUCUUGUGUUUGAACUGAAGCCGUGGAUCACUCAUCAACCUGGUCUGUGUUUGUAUGUAUCUACCUACGCAGAUGAAUUAUUUCCGGAUAGGACAGAGGUGCAAUGUUUACAUCCAUGGUAGAAGGUUCUUUAACACUGAACUCAUCAAAGGUCCUUGGACUCAAGAGGAAGAUGACAAAAUUAUUGACCUUGUAAACAAGUAUGGACUAACAAAAUGGUUGCAUUGCAAGGUCAGCUACCAGAACUUCCUGCUGCUGAUCCUGGGAUGUUUCCGAACAUGCUCCCGAACAUGCUCAAUCUAUCCGCCCUAGGACAGCCACUGCCAUGACACAGCAGGUUACUCGGCAUGCUCGGUGUGUUUACUUCGGUGGACUUCCUCCGAUCGCUAAUGAACAGACGGUUGCUCUAUUCUUCAAUCAAGUUAUGGCUGCUAUCGGGGAAACACGUUUGGUCUAGGUGGCAUAAUCAUCUGAAUCCAAACAUAUGGAACGAUGCUUGGACUACUGAGGAGGAACAUGCACUGAUUAAUGCCAUCAGGUAUAUGUGAAUAAAUGAGCAGAAAUAGCAAAACUUACUCCUGGAAGGUACUGCAUGCCAAACAACUUACAUCAUGGGUCUUGCUUGUAGUAUUAGCUUUCUGUUGCCCUUUCUAUCUCUUAUGUGUGUGACUGACUCUGUGUGACUGUUACUGUGUGUGUGACUGAAUCUGUGUGUGACUGUGACUUUGUGUGUGACCGACUGUGUGUGUGUUUGAAUUAAUAUUGCAUUCGCUUGAUGGUGUGUGCUGUAUGCUUUGCUUGAUGGUGUGUCCUGUAUGCUUUGCUUGAUGGUGUGUCCUGAAUGCUUUGCUUGAAUGAUUGGUGUUGUAUGUUUUGUUUGUUGUGGUUUAACACUGCCUUUGCCGGUCCCAAGCCCGGAUGUGAAAAUGUGGAGGGAGCUGCAUUGAUAUUGCAUUUGCUUGAUUGUGUGUCCUGUAUGCUUUGCUUGAAUGAUUGAUGUUGUUGUAUAAUUUGUGUUUUGUAUUGUUGUGGUUUAACACUGCCUUUGCCGGUCCCAAGCCCGGAUGUGAAAAUGUGGAGGGAGCUGCAGUUACCUUCUUUGUAUUGUUUGAUUACACACAGUUUGCGUUACCUUCUUUGUAUUGUUUGCAUUACACACAAUUUGCAUUACCUUCUUUGUAUGGUUUGUUGUGAUUUAUUUGCUAUGAAAAAUCCAGGCAUGCAAGGAACUUCGUGAUUUCUUUCUCAAGCUGUAUGAGGUCAGUGUUUUUUUUGCGAAUAAUAUGAGGUCAGUGUUUACUUACGAUAAUACCAAAGGGAAGCGAAUGUUUGAUUGUUCUGGGUGGUGUAUGGCUUCCCUAGAAAAUAAAAUGCAGUGCUAUCUGUUCGGCUGUAUACAAAUUUUUCCGACCAUAGAAUUCGUCUCGUCUCCUAAAUUAAUCGUACUGGUUUUAAAUCUUGUCAGCAUGGAUGUUCUUUUUUCUACUAAUAUAUAUUGUCAAGUAAAUACAUCUCCUAAAUUAAUCCUACUGGUUUUAAAUCGUACUGCUAAUAUAUAUUGUCAAGUAAAAACGUCAGUUGUUUGUCCCAAGCAACUGGGCGCUGCUAGCUAGGCAAGUUGAGUGAGUAAUGUCCUGAACACUAUAGAACUGACGUAUACUGAUCUUGUGUGAACACGCUGUGCGCCCUCGGAUCUGCAAAAGGAGUAACAGAGCAAAGCGGAGAAGAGAAGGGGUGCAUCGCACGGAUCUUGCCGCGAGGAUUGCCAUGUGAGGCGCAUAAAUUGUUUGCGCUAACUGACGGCUGAGCGAGCAUUCCCUACAUCCCCCUUCCUCGCUCCCCUAACGCCAGUCCCUCAUCUUUUCCUAACCCGUCUCGCACUCUGCCCCGCAGGUGAUUCAGUAUGGUUUCUUUGUCUCCGUUGGCAAUUCGAGCGUCUUCGACCGCUUGGAGUCAAGUUCUUUAUCGACUCCAGCAUUGGGCUAAGGCAUACACUGCUUCGCCGCCACCGCUUUGUUUUCUGUAGGGUUCGUUUCGCCGGGGUUUGAUGGAUGUUGAGUGGUUGACAUGGCGGCAGUGACAUUUUUAUUCGCUCGACAGACGUAGUGUGGGAUUAAUUGUGGCGAGAUGGUGAUUUGUGGUGUCAAGGUAGGGUUCCCAAGAUGUUGGAGCUGUCGUGAUGGGGAGGGCCGCAGUGUGCGUGGGAUUAAUUGUGGCGAGCGUCGUGGCCACGACCGCAAUAGGGCCAUGGGCAUUAGCGCGUUCGAUUUUUGCGAUUUUGUUGGGGCUGUGAAGAGUUCGGUUUUGGGAUUUUCUUUGUUUCUUAAUUUUUUUUCUCUUUCCCAGGCCGCAGCCCAACCACUUUCUAAUUCUAUUUCCCCCCUGCUUCCCUUCCAUCCUCAUGGGUCUGCAGCCCAACCACCCAGGCGAGCGAGCGACUGUUUUCCUUCUCUUCCUCUGCCUUUGUACGCUCUCGCUUACAUCGCAGAGGCUAUAUCUCGCUUAUAGCAAUAGCAAGUCUUCCUUCGGUCUCGCCUAAAGCGCGUCUAUAGUUUUCGGCCGGCCCAUUCACACUAAAAUAAAUACACUAGAGAAAAAGGGUCACGCAUGAAUCAAUCCCACGAGGCCACGAUGUACCAUAUGAUCACGGUCAGGUGAAAAGCCCAGGUUCUUUCUCUAGAGACAAAGCUGCGCCCCUUCAUCGCUCCUGUGUGAUGUUUAUGCCGUUGUUCAUUUUAUUUAGACACGCCGACAGUAAGUUUCGCGCACUAGAUGCCUGUUUGAUAUUGUUGAAUCAUUGACGAGUAGAUCUUUUGGUGGAUGCUGCUUGAUUGCAGUCGUGGCCGAGCCGACCGGCGCGGUGCGGUAGGACGCGGCGGGCGCGCGUGGAGCUGUGCGCAACUGCAUCCAUCACCAUACCCCGGCGGUGCCAGCCACCGUCUCCCGUCACGCACAUCGGAGUGACGCCGGGUUGGACCUCCUCAUAUCCCAGGAGCUGCCCGACGACGCUGGCGAAGUGGAGGAGCUGGACCCGGCGGGGUGGCGGGUGGUGAAGUGGAGGGCGGCUAGCAUAGUGGGAGGCCGCGUCGCUCUCGGAUCCGUCCGUCGUCGGGGCUGCGCGGGUGCCCAGCGGCGCUUGGAUCUAUCCUCGGGCGGCAAACCGGACGCGCCGCCGGGUCUGGCGCCACAACGCGCUUCGUGCGCCGGAAGGGGAUCCGGCCCUCGAACCUGUCCUCGAUAGAUUCCAUGGCCAGGUCGCCCACAACAUGACGCCCGUGCUGGCGACGGCGACGAAGAAGUAGCCGGAGUGCAAAACACGACGAACCAGAGCUGUGUGGCGGUAGCAUUGGCGUCGUCAACAGAGACCCCGGCUGUGUGAGACGCAUACGGGUGGCGCCCCUUCUUCUAUUUUUUUUUAGUUAUAGGUCAGGUCAAGUUGUUUUGCCCCAUCAGCACUUACAGCUGGCCCCCAUCUGUCAGAUAUAUGGUGUUAACACGCGUCUUAACCGGUGGCUAAAAUGGAUUGCUUCCAUCCUUGGAACGGCUAGUACCAAAGUUAUCGUUAAUGGAGUGCAUGGUCCGCCAAUCUUCCACACAAAAGGGCUUA